ensembl:snoRNA
GCGCGCUGCCUUUGAGCCCCCGCCGCGGGGGUCUAGCUGCGGCGCCAAAGUACGCACUCGCGCAUAACUGGGGCCGCUUGGCCCGCCGCAGGCGGCCUCUUUAACCGCGAACCGCAUCG